UACGAAGGGGGCUAGCGUUGUUCGGAAUUAUUGGGCGUAAAGGGCGCGUAGGCGGUUCGGCAAGUCUCUAGUGAAAUCUCUGGGCUCAACUCAGAGUCUGCUGGGGAAACUGCCGGGCUUGAGUGUGGGAGAGGAGAGUGGAAUUCCCGGUGUAGCAGUGAAAUGCGUAGAUAUCGGGAGGAACACCUGAGGCGAAAGCGGCUCUCUGGACCACAACUGACGCUGAGGCGCGAAAGCUAGGGGAGCAAACAGG
rnacentral:rRNA from 1 species